UAGGUACACCCUCCAUCCGAAAAUACUUGUCAUCAAAAUGGACAAAAAAGGAUGUAUCUAACACUAAUAUACAUCUAGAUACAUCUUCUUUUAUUCAUUUUGAUGACAAGUAUUUUUGGACGGAGGGAGUACUAA
rfam:Triticum aestivum genome assembly, contig: Triticum_aestivum_CS42_TGACv1_scaffold_603446_7DL